AACGUAGGUGGCGAGCGUUAUCCGGAUUUACUGGGCGUAAAGCGUGUGCAGGCGGGGAGAUAAGUGGGGUAUGAAAUCGCCCAGCUUAACUGGGCAAGGUUAUGCCAGACUGUCACUCUAGAGUGCGAGAGAGGGGCGUGGAAUUCCGGGUGUAGUGGUGAAAUGCGUAGAGAUCCGGAGGAACCCCAGAGGCGAAGGCGGCGCCCUGGCUCGCAACUGACGCUCAGACACGACAGCAUGGGGAGCGAACGGG
rnacentral:rRNA from 1 species